rnacentral:rRNA from 1 species
UACGUAGGUGGCAAGCGUUAUCCGGAAUUAUUGGGCGUAAAGAGCGCGCAGGUGGUUGAUUAAGUCUGAUGUGAAAGCCCACGGCUUAACCGUGGAGGGUCAUUGGAAACUGGUCGACUUGAGUGCAGAAGAGGGAAGUGGAAUUCCUAGUGUAGCGGUGAAAUGCGUAGAGAUUAGGAAGAACACCAGUGGCGAAGGCGAUUCUCUGGACUGUAACUGACGCUGAGGCUCGAAAGCGUGGGGAGCAAACAGGAUUAGAUACCCGCGUA